CCCUACUACAAAGUCAUGUCUAUGGUUUCCUGUCCUUGGACACCUAAAAAUUGGAGGCAAAGAGAUGUGGACUUGGAAAAGUCUGGAGCCAGCUUGCUCCUUGCAGGCUCAAGAUCACCCUUUCCCACACAG
rnacentral:snoRNA from 1 species